CGUUGACAGUUGGAAGAUGGCAUCUUCCCAGAAUCCUUAGGGUUUGACAAAAACUGAACGUGAGGCGGUCCCGCUCACAGAUGAAGGCUGAAGGAGAGAGAAUGAAGAGACAGAAAUAACAUUACCAUGAAUACAAGGGCCGGCUCCAGCGUUUUUGCCGCCCCAAAGCAGCGAAGGAAAA